rnacentral:rRNA from 1 species
UACGGAGGGUGCGAGCGUUGUCCGGAAUCAUUGGGCGUAAAGGGCGCGUAGGUGGCCUGGUCAGCGUGCGGUGAAAGCUCGGGGCUCAACCCCGAGUCGGCCGUGCGAACUGCUGGGCUGGAGCACUGUAGAGGCAGGCGGAAUUCCGGGUGUAGCGGUGGAAUGCGUAGAGAUCCGGAAGAACGCCGGUGGCGAAGGCGGCCUGCUGGGCAGUUGCUGACACUGAGGCGCGACAGCGUGGGGAGCAAACAGG